GAUGAACGCUGGCGGCGUGCUUAACACAUGCAAGUCGAACGAUGAAGCUCAGCUUGCUGGGUGGAUUAGUGGCGAACGGGUGAGUAACACGUGAGUAACCUGCCCUUAACUCUUGGAUAAGCCUGGGAAACUAGGUCUAAUACCGGAUAUGAGCGUCCACCGCAUGGGGGGUGUUGGAAAGAUUUAUCGGUUUUGGAUGGACUCGCGGCCUAUCAGCUUGUUGGUGAGGUAAUGGCUCACCAAGGCGACGACGGGUAGCCGGCCUGAGAGGGUGACCGGCCACACUGGGACUGAGACACGGCCCAGACUCCUACGGGAGGCAGCAGUGGGGAAUAUUGCACAAUGGGCGAAAGCCUGAUGCAGCGACGCCGCGUGAGGGAUGACGGCCUUCGGGUUGUAAACCUCUUUCAGUAGGGAAGAAGCGAAAGUGACGGUACCUGCAGAAGAAGCACCGGCUAACUACGUG
rnacentral:rRNA from 1 species